rnacentral:tRNA from 1 species
UGGGGUGUAGCCAAGUGGUAAGGCAGCGGACUUUGGAUCCGCGAUCCGUAGGUUCGAAUCCUACCACCCCAGCCA